rnacentral:rRNA from 1 species
UACGUAGGUGACAAGCGUUGUCCGGAUUUACUGGGCGUAAAGAGCGCGCAGGCGGUCGAUCAAGUCGAGUGUGAAAGCCCCCGGCUCAACUGGGGAGGGUCAUUCGAUACUGAUCGACUCGAAGGCAGGAGAGGGUAGUGGAAUUCCCGGUGUAGCGGUGAAAUGCGUAGAUAUCUGGAGGAACACCGGUGGCGAAGGCGGCAUCCUGGACCGGUAUUGACACUGAGGCGCGAAAGCCAGGGGAGCAAACGGG